rnacentral:rRNA from 1 species
UACGUAGGGGGCGAGCGUUGUCCGAAUUCACUGGGCGUAAAGCGCGCGUAGGCGGACUAUUAAGUUGUGGGUGAAAUCCCGAGGCUCAACCUCGGAACUGCCUGCAAAACUGUUAAUCUUGAGGUAUGAAGAGGGAAGUGGAAUUCCAGGUGUAGCGGUGAAAUGCGUAGAUAUCUGGAGGAACACCCGUGGCGAAGGCGGCUUCCUGGUCAUAUCCUGACGCUGAGGUGCGAAAGCCAGGGGAGCGAACGGG